UACGAAGGGGGCUAGCGUUGCUCGGAAUUACUGGGCGUAAAGCGCACGUAGGCGGCUUCUAAGUCGGAGGUGAAAUCCUGGAGCUCAACUCCAGAACUGCCUUCGAUACUGGAGCUUGAGUCCGGGAGAGGUGAGUGGAACUGCGAGUGUAGAGGUGAAAUUCGUAGAUAUUCGCAAGAACACCAGUGGCGAAGGCGGCUCACUGGCCCCGGUACUGACGCUGAGGUGCGAAAGCGGUGGGGGAGCAAACAGGG
rnacentral:rRNA from 1 species